rnacentral:tRNA from 1 species
GUCCUCGAUGGCUCAGUUGGAUAGAGUGUCUGCCAUGUAAGUAGGAGAUCCUGGGUUCGAGUCCCAGUCAGGGCA